rnacentral:rRNA from 1 species
CAGUCGCCGCGGUAAAACGUAGGUCCCGAGCGUUGUCCGGAUUUAUUGGGCGUAAAGCGAGCGCAGGCGGUUAGAUAAGUCUGAAGUUAAAGGCUGUGGCUUAACCAUAGUAUGCUUUGGAAACUGUUUAACUUGAGUGCAGAAGGGGAGAGUGGAAUUCCAUGUGUAGCGGUGAAAUGCGCAGAUCUAUGGAGGAACACCGGUGGCGAAAGCGGCUCUCUGGUCUGUAACUGACGCUGAGGCUCGAAAGCGUGGGGAGCAAACAGGAUUAGAUACCCCGGUAGUCCCUGUCUCUUAUACA